CGGUAGCACAGAGAGCUUGCUCUCGGGUGACGAGUGGCGGAUGGGUGAGUAAUGUCUGGGAAACUGCCUGAUGGAGGGGGAUAACUACUGGAAACGGUAGCUAAUACCGCAUAACGUCGCAAGACCAAAGAGGGGGACCUUCGGGCCUCUUGCCAUCAGAUGUGCCCAGAUGGGAUUAGCUAGUAGGUGGGGUAACGGCUCACCUAGGCGACGAUCCCUAGCUGGUCUUAGAGGAUGACCAGCCACACUGGAACUGAGACACGGUCCAGACUCCUACGGGAGGCAGCAGUGGGGAAUAUUGCACAAUGGGCGCAAGCCUGAUGUAGCCAUGCCGCGUGUAUGAAGAAGGCCUUCGGGUUGUAAAGUACUUUCAGCGGGGAGGAAGGUGUUGCGGUUAAUAACCGCAGCAAUUGACGUUACCCGCAGAAGAAGCACCGGCUAACUCCGUGCCAGCAGCCGCGGUAAUACGGAGGGUGCAAGCGUUAAUCGGAAUUACUGGGCGUAAAGCGCACGCAGGCGGUCUGUCAAGUCGGAUGUGAAAUCCCCGGGCUCAACCUGGGAACUGCAUUCGAAACUGGCAGGCUAGAGUCUUGUAGAGGGGGGUAGAAUUCACAGGUGUAGCAGGUGAAAUGCGUAGAGAUCUGGAGGAAUACCGGUGGCGAAGGCGGCCCCCUGGACAAAGACUGACGC
rnacentral:rRNA from 1 species